GUGGAGCACGCCGCGUGUGUGAUGAAGGCUUUCGGGUCGUAAAGCACUGUUGUAUGGGAAGAACGGGUUUAAGAGGAAAUGCUUAGACAGUGACGGUACCAUACCAGAAAGGGACGGCUAAAUACGUGCCAGCAGCCGCGGUAAUACGUAUGUCCCGAGCGUUAUCCGGAUUUAUUGGGCGUAAAGCGAGCGCAGACGGUUGCUUAAGUCUGAAGUGAAAGCCCACAGCUCAACUGUGGAAUGGCUUUGGAAACUGGGCAACUUGAGUACAGUAGAGGUAAGUGGAACUCCAUGUGUAGCGGUGGAAUGCGUAGAUAUAUGGAAGAACACCAGUGGCGAAGGCGGCUUACUGGACUGCAACUGACGUUGAGGCUCGAAAGUGUGGGUAGCAAACAGGAUUAGAUACCCUGGUAGUCCACACCGUAAACGAUGGAUACUAGUUGUUAGAGGGUUUCCGCCCUUUAGUGACGAAGCAAACGCAUUAAGUAUCCCGCCUGGGGAGUACGACCGCAAGGUUGAAACUCAAAGGAAUUGACGGGGACCCGCACAAGCGGUGGAGCAUGUGGUUUAAUUCGAAGCAACGCGAAGAACCUUACCAGGUCUUGACAUCCUUUGAAGGUACUAGAGAUAGUACUGUCUUCUUCGGAAGCAAAGUGACAGGUGGUGCAUGGCCGUCGUCAGCUCGUGUCGUGAGAUGUUGGGUUAAGUCCCGCAACGAGCGCAACCCUUAUGUUUAGUUGCCAGCAUUCAGUUGGGCACUCUAGACAGACUGCCGGUGACAAACCGGAGGAAGGCGGGGACGACGUCAGGUCAUCAUGCCCCUUAUGACCUGGGCUACACACGUGCUACAAUGGCGUAUACAACGAGCAGCAAACCUGUGAAGGCAAGCGAAUCUCUUAAAGUACGUCUCAGUUCGGAUUGUAGUCUGCAACUCGACUACUUGAAGUCGGAAUCGCUAGUAAUCGCGGAUCAG
rnacentral:rRNA from 1 species